rnacentral:rRNA from 1 species
GACGAACGCUGGCGGCGUGCUUAACACAUGCAAGUCGAACGAAGUGGGGAACGGGUGAGUAACGCGUAAUCAACAUGCCCUUCAGAGGGGGACAAAAGGUGGAAACGACGGCUAAUAAAGCAUAGUGGAGGUGGGGAUUGAGUCUGAUUAGUUAGUUGGAGGGGUAAGGGCCCACCAAGGCGAUGAUCAGUAGCCUGUCUGGUGGGAUGAACGGCCACAUUGGGACGGAGACACGGCCCAGACUCCUACGGGAGGCAGCAGUGGGGAAUCUUCCGCAAUGGACGAAAGUCUGACGGCGCAACGCCGCGUGAGUGAUGACGGCCGUCGGGUUGUAAAGCUCUGUUAAUCGGGACGCGGUACCGGAAUAGAAAGCCACGGCUAACUACGUGCCAGCAGCCGCGGUAAUAC